rnacentral:rRNA from 1 species
UGGGGAAUUUUGCACAAUGGGGGAAACCCUGAUGCAGCGACGCCGCGUGAUUUAGAAGGCCUUCGGGUUGUAAAAAUCUUUUCUAUGGGAAGAAAAUGACAGUACCAUAGGAAUAAGGACCGGCUAAUUACGUGCCAGCAGCCGCGGUAAUACGUAAGGUCCGAGCGUUGUCCGGAAUCAUUGGGCGUAAAGGGUACGUAGGCGGGUAAGCAAGUUAGAAGUGAAAUCCUAUAGCUCAACUAUAGUAAGCUUUUAAAACUGCUCAUCUUGAGGUAUGGAAGGGAAAGUGGAAUUCCUAGUGUAGCGGUGAAAUGCGCAGAUAUUAGGAGGAAUACCGGUGGCGAAGGCGACUUUCUGGCCAUAUACUGACGCUGAGGUACGAAAGCGUGGGUAGCAAACAGG